rnacentral:rRNA from 1 species
CCUACGGGUGGCUGCAGUGGGGAAUAUUGGACAAUGGGCGAAAGCCUGAUCCAGCCAUGCCGCGUGUGUGAAGAAGGCCUUCGGGUUGUAAAGCACUUUCAGUGGGGAAGAAAGCCUUGGGGCUAAUACCCUCGAGGAAGGACAUCACCCACAGAAGAAGCACCGGCUAACUCCGUGCCAGCAGCCGCGGUAAUACGGAGGGUGCGAGCGUUAAUCGGAAUUACUGGGCGUAAAGCGCGCGUAGGCGGUCUGAUAAGCCGGUUGUGAAAGCCCCGGGCUCAACCUGGGAACGGCAUCCGGAACUGUCAUGCUAGAGUGCAGGAGAGGAAGGUAGAAUUCCCGGUGUAGCGGUGAAAUGCGUAGAGAUCGGGAGGAAUACCAGUGGCGAAGGCGGCCUUCUGGACUGACACUGACGCUGAGGUGCGAAAGCGUGGGUAGCAAACAGGAUUAGAUACCCUAGUAGUC